UACGAAGGGGGCUAGCGUUGUUCGGAAUCACUGGGGCGUAAAAGGGCGCGUAGGCGGCUUUAUAAGUCGGGGGUGAAAGCCUGUGGCUCAACCACAGAAUUGCCUUCGAUACUGUAGAGCUUGAGACCGGGAAGAGGUAAGUGGAACUGCGAGUGUAGAGGUGAAAAUUCGUAGAUAUUCGCAAGAACACCAGUGGCGAAGGCGGCUUACUGGUCCGGUUCUGACGCUGAG
rnacentral:rRNA from 1 species